UACGGAGGAUGCGAGCGUUAUCCGGAUUUAUUGGGUUUAAAGGGUGCGUAGGCGGAUCGUUAAGUCAGUGGUCAAAUUGAGGGGCUCAACCCCUUCCCGCCAUUGAAACUGGCGAUCUUGAGUGGAAGAGAAGUAUGCGGAAUGCGUGGUGUAGCGGUGAAAUGCAUAGAUAUCACGCAGAACCCCGAUUGCGAAGGCAGCAUGCCGGCUUCCUACUGACGCUGAAGCACGAAAGCGUGGGGAUCGAAAAGG
rnacentral:rRNA from 1 species